GUGUCAUUCAGUGUUUAAGAUAUUUUAUAAGGAGAGUGGAUCUCUCGAUGCAAUUGUAUAGAAUAUUUAAUAUAUAUAUAUAUAUAUAUAUAUAUAUAUAUACUCGAAAAUCCAACGUAAAGUCGACACUCGAUUUUCACCACACUAAUGUCGACACGAUACAUUUUAGGCAUUUUCCAGUAAAUACAAGUUAAAAUAGUAUGAGAAAUGAUUUGAUUGAUGUUUAUUAGCGUAAAUAAAGACAUAUCUUUUACACAAAAUAUGAUAGCAGAUAUAAUUAAGAAAUUUGGAGGGUCGUGUCGACUUUAUCCUCUUAUAUAGUGUCGACUUUAUCCUUUUUGAUGCCAAAGUCGACAUCAAAAAUGUAUAUAUUUUAUAAAGGGAAAUUACUUUUCAAGUCUUAUUUGACUAUUUGCUAAAAUAUGUAGGUCAGUGCAUUAUUUGUGUGAAUAACAGUCGUUUUAUAUUUGGGAAACAAAUAAGAAUCCUAAUACCCUUUAUUCUGAAUUUAAAAAAUAGUUAUAGAUCUUGAUUUGCAUUUUACUCAAAUAUUCACGGUGAUCUAAAUAUAGAUAUAGAGUUGUCUCGCAUCUGUGGAAAUCCCCGACGUACUUUCGUUUUGGAGUAUAUAUAUAGAUAUCAAAUCAACAUGCAAGAAUCGCAACAGCAAAGAUUAUGUCUGCCAAAAGUGCCAAUAGUUCCAUUUUAACGGGAUUCAGCAACUAGAAGAAUGCCACUCCAAAGAUCCGAAAACGCUAAGAUAUCAAUUGUGAUUAUGGAAAUCCCUCGAGAAACCAAGAACAUUCAUUUGGUAAAUAUGUUCAGCCGCUGAACCACAUUGCUGAUUCUGCACACUAACAGGGAGGCUACAGAUGUGUUGAACCUUUCUGCUAUCGUCAAAGACGGUGUGUCAGUCAGGAGUCAAACAAAUUCAACGACUAAAACAAUAAACUCCUUAAAUUUUGGAACUGAUGAUAAUUGCUAUACAUGUUAAUGUCUACCAAAUUAAAUCAUAUCAAAACUA